CGGAGGAUGCGAGCGUUAUCCGGAUUUAUUGGGUUUAAAGGGUGCGUAGGCGGCCUGUUAAGUCAGCGGUGAAAUCUAGGAGCUUAACUCCUAAAUUGCCAUUGAAACUGGCGGGCUUGAGUGUAGAUGAGGUAGGCGGAAUGCGUGGUGUAGCGGUGGAAUGCAUAGAUAUCACGCAGAACUCCAAUUGCGAAGGCAGCUUACUAAGGUACAACUGACGCUGAAGCACGAAAGCGUGGGUAUCAAACAGGAUU
rnacentral:rRNA from 1 species